rnacentral:rRNA from 1 species
GACGAACGCUGGCGGCGUGCUUAACACAUGCAAGUCGAACGGAGAGGCCCUGCUUUUGUGGGGUGCUCGAGUGGCGAACGGGUGAGUAACACGUGAGUAACCUGCCCUUGACUUUGGGAUAACUUCAGGAAACUGGGGCUAAUACCGGAUAGGAGCUCCUGCUGCAUGGUGGGGGUUGGAAAGUUUCGGCGGUUGGGGAUGGACUCGCGGCUUAUCAGCUUGUUGGUGGGGUAGUGGCUUACCAAGGCUUUGACGGGUAGCCGUCCUGAGAGGGUGACCGGCCACAUUGGGACUGAGAUACGGCCCAGACUCCUACGGGAGGCAGCAGUGGAGAAUGUUGCACAAUAAGCGGAAGCCUGAUGCAGCAACGCCGCGUGCGGGAUGACGGCCUUCGGGUUGUAAACCGCUUUCGCCUGUGACGAAGCGUGAGUGACGGUAAUGGGUAGAGAAGCACCGGCUAACUACGUG